AGAACAGAAAUCUCCAGUAAAGAACCAGAAGUCAACAUUUUGCGUUUUUUCAGCCAUGCAUUUAUUGAUCACACAAGGUGAAUUCAUAUGUCUGGAUCUCCUCUCCAGGUGUUCAUCUGUACUUCUCGGACAGAGCCAGAGCCACGGCAGACAGGAACUUAUCCAUGGCCACAUGGACCUCAGGGGUGAAGUCGUUGGGGAAGCUGAUGGC